UGAUCACCAUAACAACAACAGGCUGGUCCAAACUGAGAAAUUCAACGUUCUAAUCUUUUAUAUCCCAAAUGUAUGCAUAAAUAACACAGCAGAUCUUAAUUUUUAGUAUUUGACCUUUUAUCCAUUUAUGUCCGUUAUGUUUAAACCUGUAUAAACCUUGUUUAAAGAUCGACCACGAUUUCUCCAUGAUGUUUGGUGACGAAGUGUCUCAGAAGUUCCUGGCAAAGUGGUCAACAUUCUUCAAGCCAAAAAUCAUUGCAGACUGCAAGACUCUUAAGAAUAUGGGCGAGCUGCUGUCAGGAACUGAACCUGAACCUGAGGACUAAAAUGGAUGGGACAGCGACAUGUCCUCAAUCCUUUUGCAGCUGCAUCUGCUCCCUCCAACCUCAAGAGGCCAGAAAAAAAAUAUCCAAGAUCAGUUCAGCUCAAGCAACCAGCCAUCUUGUGAGCUAUCUUAAGGAAGGAGCCAGUGUGAAUACCUUCAUUGAGAGUGCUGACACAAGACAACCAUUUCUCCUCUGCAUCGGUGAACAAAAGAAGGACAUCAGAAGUUCUACAUUAUCAACCAAAAGGCGAUCCCAUAAUACCGCUGCUGGGAAAUUGCCGUUCCCAAGGUUGGACACACGAGGGCAGUCAAGCUCCAUCCAGCACAACACACAACUCCACCUGAAGCAGAAGGAAGCUGCCUUAAUCACGAUAAACCCAGGCUACGCAGGCAGGACCGAGCUCCGGGACAACCUGGAGGCCGCUUCAGAUCCGUCUCCAUGAUUGUGCCCAACCACACCGUCAUCGCAGAGGUGUGCUCGGGUGCCGUCAUUCAUUACAUUAUGUAAUGAACGCAAUAACGGAUGUAUUCUGGCGUGUUACAGAACCGUUUCACGUUGUCUUUUUUGCUGUAGGUGGACUUGUGAGCUGAGGGCUUCAAGUCCAGUGAGACUCUGGCGAAGAAGAUGAUUCAGCUGUAUAAGCUGUGCAGCAAGCAGCUUUCCCGGCAGGACCACUACGACUUCAGCAUGAGAGUCGUCAACUCUGUUAUCGUCAUGGCCGGGUCUCUGAAGCGAGAGAACCCACACCUGAGUGAGAACGUGGUGUUGAUUAGAGCGCUACGAUACUCCAACCUGCCCAAGUUACUCAAGGAUGACGCAGAACUUAAAAUAAAAUAAAUUGAUAAAUAGUAAAGAACGCCAAAGCUUACAUGUGGAGUAUCAAAGGUCAUUAUCACAGGAUCACUGGAAUCAGGCACUAGGAGGAAAUUCCAGGACAAAUUAGGAAAUACAAUUAACUGACAUUUGCAAAUUCUUUGCAACUAAAAAGCUGUAAUUAUAUAACUUUUUUUUAAAGCAUUUAAAGUAUAUAACAUUAGCACCUUGUAAUGUUAUACCAGAUGAAAAGUAAAGAAUCCUGGAACAUCUGAACAUCCAUAAUCUGAAAAUCUUGAAUCUAGUGUCAAUCGAGUCAAUCCAAUCUUUCUUGUGUGCGUUUAGCGGUAUUCUGUCGGACCUCUUUCCUGGUGUGGGUGUCCCCGAGCAUGACUACGGCGCGCUUUAAUCGAACAUCGAGGCAGCUCUAUGCGCCCACUCCCUGCAGCCCGUCUCCAGCAUGACCGCCAAGGUGAUCCAGCUGUACGAGACCAUGCUGGUGCACCAGGGCGUCUUGCUGGUGGGCCCUACAAGAGGCGGUAAGACCACGGCGUACCGUGCCCUCGCUGACGCACUGCGCACCCUCCACGAGACAGAGGGCUGCGAGGUGAAUCCCUUCUACAAGCCCAUCGAGACCGACGUGCUCAACCCACAGUCAGUAAGCUUGGACGAGCUGUAUGGUGAAGACGACCCUCUCACACUGGAGUGUAGUGCCAUCAAACCGUCCCUCGGCAGUGACAUCGCCGACACGCACAAGUGGGUGGUGAGUGACGUACCUGUGGACGUGCCUGUGGAUUGAGAAAAUUACCCCCGUGUUGGACAACAACAAGACGCUCUGUCUGGCUAACGGUGAAAGGAUCAAGCUCACACCUUCUACACACAUGUUAUUCGAGGUGUUACCCAUCAGACACAGGUAGCAUCGGUCCUAAAAACCAUCACAAACAAGCACAAGCAUAUCAUUUCCAAGAAGAUUUUUUUUUUUACAUUAAACGCGUUCCUGAUGGAAAGGUCACACACAAACGUAUCUUUAAGACUUCACUCUUUCACACGCCUAUAAUGAGCGAUAAACGCAUUUGAAGCAUGUUAUAAAGCCUCCGUAAUGCAUUACGCAUAGUAUUUAAAUAAAUAUUAUUAUAAUAACAUGCACUACACUACAUUAUGCAUUAUGAAGUCUUAACGUAUUGUUAACACGUCUUUACUGUGAGCGGGAUGAUGACCAGACAGAGGCAGGCUCCCAGGUACUUAUAUCCGUAGACGUACUGAUACAGAGCCAUUCUGGCCACGCAGUAAUCCACAUCCACGUCCCAGUUUUAGCACAGCUGCCUCUGCCACUCAAAGUUACUGCUCGAGUCCACCUACGUGAACACAUACACAAAGACAUGUGAUAUAUACGAUCUCAUUGUAUACGAAUUGGGCAUUCUCGCUGACGAUAUAGCGUGGAUAGUUUAUAAUGAUAGUUUAUAAUAGUUUUCUCUAAACUGAUCCUCCAACCCCCAAUAGUUAACCUCACCUAAAACGUCUUACAUUUAGACAGAUUUUCUUUUAAAGUCUUUAAUUUAUUUAUUCAUUUUCAUAUGGUUCAUUUACAUGUGAUUCAUUUACGUUGAUUCAUUUACAUGUGAUUCAUUUUCAUGAGAUUCAUGAAAAUUCAUUUUUUUUUAAAGUGGCAGAAUUCGUUUUU